rnacentral:rRNA from 1 species
UGGGGAAUAUUGCACAAUGGGCGAAAGCCUGAUGCAGCGACGCCGCGUGAGGGAUGGAGGCCUUCGGGUUGUAAACCUCUUUCGCUCAUGGUCAAGCCGCAACUGUGGGUUGUGGUGAGGGUAGUGGGUAAAGAAGCGCCGGCUAACUACGUGCCAGCAGCCGCGGUAAUACGUAGGGCGCGAGCGUUGUCCGGAAUUAUUGGGCGUAAAGGGCUUGUAGGCGGUUGGUCGCGUCUGCCGUGAAAUUCUCUGGCUUAACUGGGGGCGUGCGGUGGGUACGGGCUGACUUGAGUGCGGUAGGGGAGACUGGAACUCCUGGUGUAGUGGUGGAAUGCGCAGAUAUCAGGAAGAACACCGGUGGCGAAGGCGGGUCUCUGGGCCGUUACUGACGCUGAGGAGCGAAAGCGUGGGGAGCGAACAGGAUUAGAUACCCUGGUAGUCCACGCUGUAAACGUUGGGCACUAGGUGUGGGGGCCACCCGUGGUUUCUGCGCCGUAGCUAACGCUUUAAGUGCCCCGCCUGGGGAGUACGGCCGCAAGGCUA